UGCCAGCAGCCGCGGUAAUACGGAGGGUGCUAGCGUUGUUCGGAAUGACUGGGCGUAAAGGGCGCGUAGGCGGUUUUGUUAGUCAGGCGUGAAAGCCCCGGGCUCAACCCGGGAACUGCGUUUGAUACUGCAAGACUUGAGGACGGAAGAGGAAAGUGGAAUUCCUAGUGUAGAGGUGAAAUUCGUAGAUAUUAGGAGGAACACCAGAGGCGAAGGCGGCUUUCUGGUCCGUUACUGACGCUGAGGCGCGAAAGCUAGGGGAGCGAACGGGAUAGAUA
rnacentral:rRNA from 1 species